rnacentral:rRNA from 1 species
GACGAACGCUGGCGGCGUGCUUAACACAUGCAAGUCGAACGGAAAGGCCCUGCUUGCAGGGUACUCGAGUGGCGAACGGGUGAGUAACACGUGGGUGAUCUGCCCUGCACUUCGGGAUAAGCUUGGGAAACUGGGUCUAAUACCGGAUAGGACCGCACUUUAGUGUGUGUGGUGGAAAGUUUUUUCGGUGUAGGAUGAGCUCGCGGCCUAUCAGCUUGUUGGUGGGGUAAUGGCCUACCAAGGCGGCGACGGGUAGCCGGCCUGAGAGGGUGUACGGCCACAUUGGGACGGAGAUACGGCCCAGACUCCUACGGGAGGCAGCAGUGGGGAAUAUUGCACAAUGGGCGCAAGCCUGAUGCAGCGACGCCGCGUGGGGGAUGAAGGCCUUCGGGUUGUAAACUCCUUUCGCUAGGGACGAAGCUUUGUUGUGACGGUACCUAGAUAAGAAGCACCGGCUAACUACGUG